CCAGACUCCUACGGGAGGCAGCAGUGGGGAAUAUUGCACAAUGGGGGAAACCCUGAUGCAGCGACGCCGCGUGAAGGAUGAAGUAUUUCGGUAUGUAAACUUCUAUCAGCAGGGAAGAAAAUGACGGUACCUGACUAAGAAGCCCCGGCUAACUACGUGCCAGCAGCCGCGGUAAUACGUAGGGGGCAAGCGUUAUCCGGAUUUACUGGGUGUAAAGGGAGCGUAGACGGCAUGGCAAGUCUGAUGUGAAAACCCGGGGCUCAACCCCGGGACUGCAUUGGAAACUGUCAGGCUGGAGUGUCGGAGAGGCAAGUGGAAUUCCUAGUGUAGCGGUGAAAUGCGUAGAUAUUAGGAGGAACACCAGUGGCGAAGGCGGCUUGCUGGACGAUGACUGACGUUGAGGCUCGAAAGCGUGGGGAGCAAACAGGAUUAGAUACCCGAGUA
rnacentral:rRNA from 1 species